rnacentral:rRNA from 1 species
CUACGGGCGGCACCAGUAGGGAAUAUUGCGCAAUGGACGAAAGUCUGACGCAGCAACGCCAUGUGUGGGAUGACGCAUUUCGGUGUGUAAACCACUGUCGGCAGGGAAUAAAACCACAGUUUUGUCACUGUGCUUGAAUGUACCUGCAGUAGGAAGCACCGGCUAACUUCGUGGCCAGCAGCCGCGGUAAUACGAGGGGUGCAAGUGUUGUUCGGAAUCACUGGGCGUAAAGGGAGCGUAGGCGGGAAAGUAAGUCAGGUGUUUAAUCUUGGGGCCUAACCCCAAUCUUGCACUUGGAACUACUUUUCUUGAAGAGGGUAGAGGUAGAUGGAAUUCCUGGUGUAGCGGUGGAAUGCGUAGAUAUCAGGAAGAACACCAGAGGCGAAGGCGAUCUACUGGGACCAUAUUGACGCUGAGGCUCGAAAGCGUGGGGAGCGAACAGGAUUAGAUACCCGAGUAGUC